rnacentral:snRNA from 1 species
AGAUCACUUGAGUCCAGGAGGCGGAGGCUGCAGUGAGCCAAGAUUGCACCACUGUACUCCAGCCUGGGCAACAAAG